UAGUUAACAUUACCGGAGGAAGAUGACUGAGAGGAGGACGCGCGUCUCGGCUCUGGUCUUGGUCGGAUAUUGUCUUCUACUAGUUUGUGGGGCAGGGAGCGUCCCCUGUACUGUCACUCAGGGCGCUGAUCAAACCACCUACAGCGUCCCAGAUGAGGGGGCAUCAGGCUGUAGCUAUUCAUGGACCAACGCAAGUGACACAGGUCACUCCGUGCUCGCGCAUGAGGAAAGAUGGGGGGAGGAUGGUCCAGUCAGGAGUGCGAACGUGAGCACCUUCAUCUCCACAGAAUGCUUCCCACGGGUCAUCUACACGUGACACUGUCGUUCAGAGAAAGAAGAGCACACAUCUAACUGCACCAUUGUCUGCCGUGAAAAAGUCGUGCCUCCGGAAGAUUAUGUUGCAGAAAUUAAGAAGACCACAUCCCACUUCCGGAUCAUUCCUGUCAUUCUCCUUUCCUCCGUUAUUGUGCUUGUUGGUUUGAUCUACUUCAGACCAAAGAGGACCUGCUUUUACUCUCCUGUGAACAUGAAGGACGUGGAAGCACCAGCACCAGUGGAACAGUAGAGGGACCUUCACCUGUUAACCAAUCAGCCUUUUGAUCCAAUCAAUCUGUCCAUUUAAUCUCUAAGUCUGUUUCUACUGCUGAGAACUACAUUUAUGCUUAUAAUUCUUCCUGUACAAUAUUUUAGUACAAGUGUUUUUUAUUAUUACAUUAUCUCAUUGUUACUGCUCCAAUCGUCUUUAGAUCUGGCCAAAAUCAGUGCUUAGUGCUUUUGCGUUUGAAAUCAUCUUUAUUUUGCAUGAAAUGAUGCAGCUUGUUCUCUCUCACAUCCAUAUUUUAGCUUUUUACAUAGUCAUGGCAAGCUGAUGCUUUGACAUAGUUUCCAAGGUUUUUAAAGACAAACUGUCCAUGAAUGUAAUCAGUUCAGGACGUGCUGGGUUUAGGGAUGUUGGUAUCACUAGGACUCGAGCAAAGACUGUUUGUGAUGUACCUUUGCACACUUCACAUCCACCACUGCUGUGUUCAACUGGACACGACAGACUCUCUCCUUUACCAGCUGGAACCACACAUGGCCUCCUAUUAAGUCAGGUUUUAACUUUUUUCAACUGUCCUUUUGCAUUGGCAAAAAACUCAAACAUGUUUUGAUAGUUCCAAAGUUGACUAUGUUUACAUGGACAGCAAUAGUAGUUUAAUUAACAUUAUUAUGAAUAAGACAUCAUUCCAGUUGUGAUGUUUACCUGAGUUACUAACAGAACAUUCCAUUCAUACUCACGUUUACAUGAUACAGAUCGUAGUCUGAUCAGUGAGAAGUACUACUUAGUGUUUACACUUGAACCCAGGACAUGUGCCACCAAGCAGCUGGUAACUGCCAUGUGUUCAUGUAGCGAUUGAUACGUCGAUAUGUCUACAUAAUAUGACUUGAGUCAGAGUACUCCACAUGUCUUGAUUUGAUUAUGACUCAUGCCGGGCAUACACUGCGAUAUGAGCCAGAUUUUGACCAGAUUUCUGAGUUGCUUGACAUAUUUUAGAAUCUGAGCGAUUUCAGCUUCGUCUUGCAUAGUUUUUUGUCUUGUUUAAAAGGGGGCGGGGUUUGAGGCGCCAUCAGAUGCUCCUGACCACUCUUCGGACAGUCGGAUCAACUUCUGACAUGUCAGAAAUUUUGUUCAGCCGUCGUCAGGCUCUUGCACUCAAGUUGAUUUCCCCAUAAUCAGCACAUUUUCUCUCACUUAGUCUUGUGAAAGGAAAAAACACAAUAGUAGGGAAUUGUCUAAAGCAAUUGCACAGCAAAGAAGAAAAAGUAGAUAAAAGGGUUCUGACAGUACAGUCAUAAUCAAGGCAACAUGUUUCUCCCUUGUUAAUCCAGCUUAGCUGUGACUUUCCAUCUCAGGCAAUCUACUCGUAUAGUGUGAAUUUAACUACAUAAUUUCUAAAGACGCACAGUGAAUGCCCAGUUUUUUUAAUAGAGUGACCUCAUAGGGGUUAAGGUCAUCAGAAAAUGCUGUUCAGGUUGAUAUUGGAAUAUUGGUGUCCAUGUUAAUGUGGCCUGUAAUGAUAAUUGCUCAGCAGAGAGCUGUGACGUAUUGGUGAACAGGUGAAAAGUUCUUCACGCUGUGGAAGCUGAGUGGACUCUUUGCUGUGCCAGCGUGUGCACUUUGAGGACCAAACAAAGCCCAGUAGCAAUGCUGUAGCUGCCCCAGGAGCCUGUAACAGUCCUCCUCAGGUCAAAAUCAAGUUGUCCCCCUCAAGCCUUUUAUAUGAUAAAAGACAUUUUGAGAGAAAUAAUCAGCCCUCAUUCAGCCAGGGUCUGUGAUGUCACAACCCUAAGAAACCAAUCCUGUGAACGUCAGGCAUCGUAAGGUAAUUUGGUUGAAUUUUCUCAUUAAGAAACUUUGGAGUAUUUUUAGGUUGAGUUUUAGGUGGAGUAAUAAUUACUUGAGUCGGACUUAAACAUGAACGGAAGCUGUGGAAGCUGGGAGAGUCUCAACACGAGGGAGGAACACCCCCCCCCCACUGGCCUGUAGCACUGCAGUGACCCCUCUGAAUGUUGUAAAUGUAUCCCUUCGAUAAUAGAAUACCUUUAUUAAUCAUAAGAACUAUUUUCUAUUAUAUGCAUUUAUAAGAUUUUAUAUAUAUUAAUAUAUUUAUACUUAUAAUGGUUGAUGAUACACUAAAUGUAGUUAUAACAUAUGAUGUUAACUACUUUUAUAUGCAGAGUCAGAUAUAAAUUGAUAUAAAUGUUUAUAUUCGGAAAUGUAUCUUUAGUUUAUAUUUCAUACACUAUAUAUAUAUAUUUAUAUAUAUAUUUUUAUAAGCUACACCGUUCAGAUGCAAUAUUGAACAGUGCUAUUUUUAAUUGAGUGAAAUGUACUGUAGAUGUACUAUUGUAUUGUAUUGCAUUCAGUUGUGAGGUUUGUGUGUACAAUCAUUGUUUGAGUCCUUCUGGUGCCCCUCUGAAGAAAUUUUUAAUUUAUAUCUAAAAGAAUCAUGUCCCACUUUCUUCCUUUUCCUGUAAAACACAUUUAGAAUAAAAUGGAUCAAUCAGGAGUUGCUUUUGUUUUGUAUUGUCAAAUAUAACAGUAGGUUUCCAUAGUAACAGGAGUGUGACUCACACCUGGUGAUUUGUCUGUGUGCUCAUGUGUGGUGAGAAAACUUGUGGUGAGGGGAAUUCUUUCUCUUGUGCUCUCUCUGACCUACAAUAAGUAAUAGUAAUUAAAUAAUGAUUUAAA